UAAAAGGGUCGAUUGGCUAGUUAUGCCACACUUAGCUUCAUUUGGUAGGUGUCCUGUGGCAAUCAAGACAUAUGGCCAACAUAAUUUGUGGAACUUUAAAACUUAUAUUUCUAAUUUAAUUUUUU